CCUACGGGUGGCAGCAGUAGGGAAUCUUCCACAAUGGGCGAAAGCCUGAUGGAGCAACGCCGCGUGGGUGAAGAAGGUCUUCGGAUCGUAAAACCCUGUUGUUAGAGAAGAAAGUGCUUGAGAGUAACUGUUUACGUUUCGACGGUAUCUAACCAGAAAGCCACGGCUAACUACGUGCCAGCAGCCGCGGUAAUACGUAGGUGGCAAGCGUUAUCCGGAGUUAUUGGGCGUAAAGGGAACGCAGGCGGUCUGUUAAGUCUGAUGUGAAAUCCUUGGGCUUAACCGGAGUAGUGCAUUGGAAACUGGUAGACUUGAGUGCAGAAGAGGAGAGUGGAACUCCAGGUGUAGCGGUGAAAUGCGUAGAGAUAUGGAAGAACACCAGUGGCGAAGGCGGCUCUCUGGUCGGUAACUGACGCUGAGGUUCGAAAGCGUGGGUAGCAAACAGGAUUAGAUACCCUGGUAGUC
rnacentral:rRNA from 1 species